rnacentral:rRNA from 1 species
UACGAAGGGGGCUAGCGUUGCUCGGAAUCACUGGGCGUAAAGCGCACGUAGGCGGGUCUUUAAGUCAGGGGUGAAAUCCCGGAGCUCAACUCCGGAACUGCCUUUGAUACUGGAGAUCUUGAGUCCGGGAGAGGUGAGUGGAACUCCGAGUGUAGAGGUGAAAUUCGUAGAUAUUCGGAAGAACACCAGUGGCGAAGGCGGCUCACUGGCCCGAUACUGACGCUGAGGUGCGAAAGCGUGGGGAGCAAACAGG